GCAGCGGUAGUUCAGUUGGUUAGAAUACCGGCCUGUCACGCCGGGGGUCGCGGGUUCGAGCCCCGUCCGCUGGU
rnacentral:tRNA from 1 species